rnacentral:misc_RNA from 1 species
GAUGAAGAACGCAGCGAAACGCGGUAAGUAAUGUGAAUUGCAGAAUCCAGUGAAUCAUCGAAUCUUUGAACGCACAUUGCGCCCGCCAGCAUUCUGGCGGGCAUGCCUGUUCGAGCGUCAUUUCAACCCUCGACCUCCCCUUGGGGAGGUCGGCGUUGGGGACCGGCAGCACACCGCCGGCCCUGAAAUGGAGUGGCGGCCCGUCCGCGGCGACCUCUGCGCAGUAAUACAGCUCGCACCGGGACCCCGACGCGGCCACGCCGUAAAACACCCAACUUCUGAACGUUGACCUCGAAUCAGGUAGGACUACCCGCUGAACUUAAGCAUAUCAAUAAGCGGAGGA